AUGGUUUCUCUGUCUCUUGGCUAAGAUCAAAUGUUGUUAGCUCAUGUUCUUAUCAGUUUAAUAUCUGGUACAUUCUUUAUCUGGGGACAAUAGAAAUGGAUUUGGGGAGCAGGGAGAUGGAAUAGGGCCUUGUUCUGUCCACUCCCUGCACCAAUUUGGUCUUGAAGUCUUCCAGGAAUGACAUACCUCAC